UGCGGCAAAUUUAUUUUACACGAUAUCACAAACGGAAUUUAUUACACGCAGUAUAAAAAAGGCAACAGUGUCCAAUACUGUGCACACACAAAACAAACACAACACAUAGUGUCCAAUACUAUGAGGACAAAACCACGCAACAGUGUCAAAUACUGUGCGGACAAAAACCACGGAUCAGUUUCCAAUACUGGGCGGACAAAAAACCACGCAUCAGUGUCUAAUACUGAGCGGACAAAAACCACGCAACAGUGUCCAAUACUGUGCGGACAAUAUAUAAAGAAAUAAUAGUAAUUCCGAAUCUCUCAGUGAUCUGCCAAGAUGUAUCUAGAAAUUGAGUGUCUAGAAUAACAAAAACCUGAACCUUAUAUACACAUUGCCACCAAAAAUGCACCAACUAAACACCAAUUAUUUGACCUAAACUCUACUUGUUUAUCUGACCUAAAUUGCCACCAAAUAUGCACCACAAAUGCACCAACCUAUUUAUACAUAGAAAAAUCCUACUUAAACUAACACAUGCUAAAAGGCUAUGACUUCUAUGAAAUCAGAUAUAUUACAAACUAAUGAUAACUAUACUAGCUACAUAUG
rnacentral:lncRNA from 1 species